rfam:Glycine soja cultivar W05 scaffold436_15, whole genome shotgun sequence.
AACCCAUGGUGUGGGAAACUUCUAAGUAACUCAUGGAAUCUUUCCCAAGCUUCUAAAAAGUUCUCCUGCUCAUUUUGAGUGAAGUUGCCAAUGUGCCUUUGAAGCU